UCCAGUCCCACUUUCAGUUGAACUGCUUGUAGGUGGCCGUUGGAGCCCUUGGCCGCCAGUAAGACAAGGGGUCUCUGAGGCUCAGGGAUACUGAGGCCCCUGCAGCGAUGUGGCUACCUAGGCCAGGUCGGUCGGAUAAAGAGGCAAGGAAUUAAUUCAGGUUUGCUGUUCCUGCACCUGGGGGAAGCCAGACCCCAGUUCCUCACCAAUGUCCCAAGUCUCUUAAAAAAAAAAGGUCUCCGUGGUCCUAGUUGGGAAAAGCAGAAGUGCUGACUGGACAGAGAGCUGCUGCUAGGCCUGAUUUGGAAAGGUCUCUCCUGAACCUGGGCCUGAGUCCAACCUGAGAGUCAGAGGCUGGAAAUGAUGCCACUGCUCCAGCAAACUCCCACCGUAGCAGCUUCUGGAGGCCACUCCUAGUCACCACCUGUUCCUGGCUUGGAGAGGGGGAAAAGUCACAAAAGAAGCAGCCUUGGAGGGAUUUGCUCUCAAGCCUACAAAUCGCCUUUUCAGAUGUCAGACCCAACAAGGGUCCACAGAAGCUGGGCCUGAUAAGUUUCUGCACGUGUGAGUGACACUGGACGUUUGAGAAAUGAAUAGAAUGUGAAAGUGCCACAUCCAAUGAAGUCAAUAGUAUUGGAUUCUUUGCUGAAGGAUCUUGACAGAGGCCAAACUUUGUUGCAACAGUGCCUUACAACCAUGAUUAAGCCAGCAUGCUAAGACUGGAUUGAGAUGUGUACAUCAAAGGAUGUGAAAUACUUGGGAACUCCUGGAAGCAUAGAAGAUGGCAGCUGGUGCCUUGGAAGACAUUAACUGGAUUCUGGACUUCCUGCAAUUUCCAAAAGCUGAAGCUCAAACAUUCCUCUUGGCACCAAGUAAAGCAUAUAGAUGUGGACCAAAAAGAACUAGAUAUCAUGUAACCCAGGAGGAUUUGUGACCCCUUCAACCAUCAUUAACGGCUAUAAAGUAGGGAGCCUGAAGAUGAUGCUCUGCCUCUGGUGUGGUGAUGAAGGUGCCCUCAUUGUUUCAGUGACUCUUUUGAGUAUCUCUGGGUAUCCAAGACAAAAAUGUAGACUUUAUAGAUUAUAGACUAUGUGUGUGGCAUCUUCCAACUAAAUAGUCAAGAGAGAGAGAUUAAUCUAGAAGUAAUGGCACCCAAAUUGCAAGACUAGGAGCAUUUAUAAUUUCAAUAGCUGUAGGGUUUAUAUGGCUAUAGAUAGAACAGUAACAGCUAAGACUAGUGUUUACUCUGGGUCAAGUAUUAUUCUAAAAGUUUAAUAUUCAUUAACACAUUGAAUCCUCACAUAUGUAAACUUUUAUAACUUUAUAUAUGACUUAUUUUUUCAUCACUGUGACAAGAUACUUGAGAAAAUUAACUUAAAAGAAGGAAAGGUUCGUUUUGGCUCUUGGUUUUAGAGGUUUCAGUCCAUGGUCACUUUGCCUCAUUACUAUGGGCCUGUGACAAGGCAGAACAUCAUGGCAGAGAGCAUGAAGCAGAGGCAGUAGCUCUUUCCUCAUGGUGUCCAGGAAGCAGAGAGAGAGAAAAAGGAAGAGGCCAAGGACAAAAUAUACCCCUCAAGGGCCUGCCCCUAGUGACCUACUUUUUCCAAAGAGACCCCACCUCCUAAAGUUUUCAGGCUAAGGCCUGAAUCCAUCAAUGAACUAAUCCAUAAUGAGGUUAGAACCCUCAUGGUCCAAUCAUUUCCCAAAAGCUCACUUUUGAAAACUGCUGUAAUGAGGACCAAGUCUUCAACACAUGAGGUUUUGGGGGACAUUUCAGAUCCAAACCACAACACUGUGACAUAAAGUAUUAUUAUCCGCAUAAUAAUACUUUUAAAAAGUGGUACAGAGAGGUUAUAUUUCAAGUGUGUGUUAAUAGACCUUGCUAUGGGGACCAUUUGAUGUACCAGAUACCUGUCUGGUACAUCACAAGUCAUAGGCAGCUAUUAACUGCCAGAAAUAAAACUUAUAACUUUUAAAAUUGUUUCCUCGCCAAGUAAAGGUCAGAACUUGAAAAAUAGGAUUUGUUGAUACUCUGAAUCAAAAUGACAAAUAUUUCUGUUUUGCAAAGUUUGUGAAAGAGUCUGAUCCCAGAAAAUGUUUAUUUUGUAUAAAAACAAAAAACAGGUGUAUAUACCCCAGAUUCUAUUACUGGUCUUCAAGGAUUUGUGAGAAUUUAAAGCACAAUCUAUGCUAAUCAUCUUAAUUUAGUGUUUUUCAACCAUUUUUAUCAUCCUUCUUCCCACAAAGAGACUAUCUACAUUCUCACAGACUUAAGAACAGUUCAUGAAUAUUGCUUUCACCCAGAGGUAAGGGUUAUUUGAAAAGAUAGGGCUACUACCUGCACUGGAUAUUCAUUUUCAGAUUGUAUUUAAGAGGAGAAGCAAGCAUUUUUGGAGUAGAAAGUUCAGAUUAGUAAAAUGUAGGAUUCUCCCUGACUCCUUGCUUUCAACUUUGAAAAAAAAUACAUUGAAUACUUGUUAAAAGUUUAAGAUUGUUUUUUAGUUUCGCAUACAUUUUUAAAUUGGGAACAAAGGCUACAGAUAGUAUAUUUCCACGUUUUAAACAACUUUUAAAAUGGGGUUUUCAGAAACUUUAAUUCUUUCGUGUUUUAACUUUUGAAGCUAUUUGUGAGCCAGUUACAUUAGGAACUAAAGUAAAAUACAUUAUAUCUUGAGAAAUUACAAACUUAUUUCAUUUUCUACUUUUGGUAUUGAUUAUAGACAGGGUAAUAGAAGGAUUAUGGAUAGGAUCAGUACAAUGACAGUAGACUUAUUGAAUAGGAAAGGAACAAUCAGUUCUUUGAUUUUCUUUAAAAUAUAAAUAUACAAUGUUAUGAUUAUACCUGUGUAAUCACUACCAGGUUAAUAGAAAACUGCCAGCAUUCCAGAAAGUGUUUGCAUAUUGCUUUCAAAUAACAGCUCUUCUCCCCACGGGUGACUACUACUACCUUUAUAGGGAUAUUAAUUUCUCUCUUUUCAUUUUUUUCAAAGUGUGGUUUGAUAUCAGCAUCAUCUGGGAAUUCUUGGAUCUUUUCGCAGACCUAAUACAUUUAUAUGUUUUGUGGGAUUCAUUUUAUGUGAUAAAAUAUAAAGCAGUGAUUCUCAAACUUGAGCAUUACCAGAGUGACUAGAAGGUCUACAUCUACUGAAACAGAUGUUAGACCCUAUACAUAGUUUCUGAUGAUCUCUUUCUAGACCAAGUUAUGGCAGUCAUGAUCAUACCAAUUAGAUCUCCAUGGCUAUCAUCGUGUUGAUUGGAUUUUUGUGGCAGUAGCCGUCAUGCUGAUUGGAUUUUCAUCUAAAAGAAAAGAAUGUCAAUGGACAUGUCCAUCCACCCCUGUCACCCUCUGGCAUUCUGAGCAAGUUGGCCUGAUACCUUGGCACUUUGGUAAUUAUUGAGAGUAGAUAAUGAGGGCUUCAAGUUCAUCAUAUAAUUCUUGAUACUUUUGUGGACUGUGGAGCAUACUGUUGUGAUCAGUAGGUUCCAAAGACUUCCUCCUACAACUUCAGACGACUUCUGCUGUCUUAGUUGUUGAUUCUAAUCUUUGUACAGAGUAUAAUUGUCCCUGUGCUAUUCAGUGAACUAGAAAUUUCAUUUUGUAGGAACAACUGUCAGUCUUGCAAUGAAGAUAAUUGGCUCCAAAGAGUUUUGUAUUUGCUCUUGCCAGGCACCUGCAGGCACUGCAAGUUCAAAGCCACUUGCUCAAAGUUUGAUAUCUCCUGGACAACUCAGGAGGGUUUCACCACAAUUGAAUUCUCUCCAUAUCAGUCCAGUUUUUAUUCACCUUCACUCCAAUAUCUUAGAUCCCAGCAUGUUGAAGGAAAGGGUGUCCUGUCAGACUUCAAGUUACAUGGACCCAAAGUUUUGUUUUCUGACUCCUUCUGUACCCUAAAAGGUUAUCAAAAAAGUUAUCAAAAAGAUUCCAAUUUUGUAGGAUUAGCUAGUGCUUUCAGGGGAAGUGAUUUAGGGCUUACUUACUCCUCCAGAUUCUCCACGUCUUGACUUUAGGGAUAACAAUUCCUACUAUUUUGUAAUCUCUUUGAUGCUUUUAAAAAUAUUAUUUCAAGUGUAUUUUAUCCAGCUUUUUAGUUGUUUUCAGCUGGAGACCUGAUUCAAAUACACUGAACCAUUACCAGAAACAGGAAAUCAGAGAAUCAAUUAAUUCUGUGAUUUCUCAAAGCAUUUUUAAAAAAGUGAUGGAUGUUUAGGUUAUAUCCUUGUUGGGGGAAAACAUUCUCCUUUUAAUCUAUAACUUGAACCAGAUGUGGACUCAUGAAACUCAUUUUGUUAAAAAGUACAUAGUGUUCUAUGCAAAUGACUAUAACCACUUGAUAUUGCUCCAAUAUUUAAUCAGUGAGUUCUAAGGAGUACCUCACACAACUUCAGAAAGCCUCACAAAAUGCAGAGAUAUGCCUAGUAUAGGAUCCAUUUCACAAUAUUUGGCACUUUUUAUGAGGUUUAAGCUUAACAUAGCUUUAACCAGCUUUAGUCAAGUUUAGGAAGAAUUGAUGACAUGUACGUUUAUCCCUAGGAAGGUUUCUUUCUAGGAUAGCAUAAGGACUACCCCAAACAUUAUUGUCAAACUCUAAGCAUUUGAUAAGUGACAUUUUAAGUAUCUCCCUCUGUCCCCAAAUGAUAUACCAUCUCUUUGUUUUUCCCUUUUGACUCUGUAUCAGGUCGAUUCUUUGAGACAGAUAAGAUUCCAACAUUCUCAGAGACAUUUCUCCUUGCCAACCUGUUCUUGGCAAGUCAGAACACAUUCUUUUAUAGGCAAAAGGAUAGGUCCUUAUGGUUAUUUUCAGAUACCAUAUGAAGGAUAAUGAAGAUGGGGAUAUGUAAAUGCUGCACUUGGAAGGUAAGCUGGUGGGCUUCCAGAGCAGAGGUGAGAUGCCUUAUCUUGAACAAUUGGUGCAUGGCAAUUAGGAUUUGUGCCAAUCAUUGCAGACUGGGGUUAGGAAAGGAGAGAAAAACUCAGAUAGCUGUUUCUAGAGUCCUUUCAGGUGCUUGACAGUUACUUGAAUUUCAGGUUCACCUAAAGAUAAUAUGGUUGCUUGUGGUGGAGCCAAAGUUCCCUGCAAACUUGUGGGUCAGCCUAUCAGAAUUUAAACAUUAUUGUAGCAAGAAUCUCAGAUGCUUUAUCUCAGGUAAAGGCUAUAACUAACUAGUUAAGGCAGGAAUUCCUUAAGAUAGUAGAGCUGUUACCCUGGAUCUGUGGAUUUAUGUUACCAGCAUAGGGAGGAGUCCCACUAUCUCAGAGGGGUAAUGAGACUCAUCAGGGUUUUUUUUUUUUUUUUAAUCAAUUCAAAGUUGAUGCCUUUGCUAUCUGUACCAGUAAAUUUAUAUUCUGUUACCUCAUUACUGGACCUGAAGUUCAUGUUUUAAACAAAGACUUUUAAAAUAUACCAAAGGAUACAGAAAUUUAGCAGAGCAACACAUAUCAGGAUAUCUUUUUAAUAUAACAGGGGUUUUCUAGGCAUGGGGUUCUUCAAUUACAAAGCAAGUCAUGGCCAGCUACACUUCACCCUUUAGUUGAUAACUUUUGUCUAGACCAGGCCAACCUGAUGGCACCAUUUAUUUCCACACAACUCAUCAUUUGAAGUAGGGCUAUUGCCUUCUCAACACACAAGAUUAUUUAUUCUUGCUUUACUAAAAGAUGUAGAGAAUCUGGACCACAUGAAGUCCACUCAGUUUAGUCACUUCUUAUGGACCUACUUUUUAAAUAUGCUCUCCCCACUUCUCAACUAGAAUAUAUAAUCUAAGGACUUGUGGUUUUAGGCCACAUUUCUUAUGACUACAAUGUCUUCAGCAUUACAUUUGCAUGACUGGUCAUUUGUAGUAGCUGUAUCACAGAUCUCUGCAGUUGUCCUGUUAAUCUGAACUUUAUAAAUUAUACAAUGGAUUCUGUUCCUGAGCCUCAUGUGAAUUUAGAGUCAGUCAGUGGUUACCACUACUGUUCCAGUUCAUCCCAGAUAAUUGCUCCCACUGGAUUUCUCAAGACAGCCACAUGGAAUGCAUGUGAGCUUCAUAUCCAGUAAAUAGAAGAAUUAAGAGUGGGAUCCAACUUUUUACUAAAAUCCAGAGUCCAAUUUUGGAAAUGUAAUAUAACUGUUACUGUAUGGGGCCUUAAUGAGCAUCCUUGAUAUUACAAGAACUAAUGUUUAUGACCUCCAACUGCAGAAUCAUAUAUAGAUAGGGUUGAGGAUUAUACUUAGGACAGUGCAGUAGGACAAAGAACAUGUCUCAGGAUUUGAGGAAUAGAUCAUCUCACUGACAGCUCCAGUUAAAUGGCCAACUGUGGCUAUCUUUGUUGGAAGAUGAGAGAGAUUUGAUAAGUCUUAUGUGCCCUCAUCUUUACAUGUACUUCCUUUUAGCCACAGUAGGCCUUUUGGCUAUAACUUUGUUUUAGUGGUUAUUCCAGGAUUUAUCUUUACGAUCUGCAGUUUCAGUGGUAGAUGUCUGAGUUUCUUUACAAGAGUUUCCAUGCAGAGUAAGUUCUAAGUAUUAUAUGUCAUGGCAUUGAACUUAUAGGCAAUGCGUGGUCCAAAGGUCCUGGCCCAAAGAGUCUCCAGAGGAAAACACUGUCCUCACCCGCUUCACUGAACUAGUACCUGGAAUGAUAUAAUAAACUUUGUCCUGCUGUACUUCUUUAUCUUCUACAAUAAACUUUUCUUUGAGAAGACUUUCAAAUGAGAAUGACUUAAGAAUUUAAGCCAGUACAACAGCAUUCUCAAGGCAGAGGAUGUCAGACUCAUUGGUUUUGGGAGCAAACAAGUCCUAUUUCUUCCCUCCACUCUUUAAAGCUUAUUUCUAAAGUGAUUGGAGCACAUGGCCACUGACAAAUUGCUGUAGAGGAAUGGUGAAUUUACAUGCAAAGAGCAGAACAGAGUCAGCUAGAGGCUUCGUAAGCUGAAGUCACUAUGUGUUCCACCUCAGGUGAGCUGUGAGAGGCAACAAAGGUUCUCUGCUGCUGAUAUGUGAGGGGGAAGAAGAGAAUAUGGGGCACAUACAAUAGUGUGCUUUCCUCAUAUUAAUCAUUCCUGAGUCUGUUAUUACCUCUAUUAAGUUAUAGACUCCUAUGGAGAUAAUGGUGGCUUGGUUUCCAAUAUUUAAUAUUCCAUGAAACAUUUUGUAUAUUAGCUACACCCCUCUCUGUUCCAAAGCUUACUUAUCCAGUAAGUCUGUCUCUUAAACAUAAAGUCCUGUUGCCAAGUGUUCCCACUGGGAAAGUGUACUAAUCAGGGAAUACUGGCUUCCUCAUUAAGAGCUGUUCCCAGAAAUGUCUGAAGUUCAGGUAUUAGGGUAAAAGGGUAGUCAGUCUGGUUGGCACUCCCAAUUCCCUUGGUAUUUCUUUACCAUGACACUUAUAGAUUGCCUAUCAGUUUGGUCUUUUUCUACCCAAUCUUAUAAUUUGUAGACUAACAGGUCUUUCUACUGAGAACUUUCUCUUUUUUUAGAGAGAGAGAGAGAGAGAGAGAGAGAGAGGAGAGGAGAAUUUUUAAAUAUUUUUCAGUUUUUGGUGGACACAAUAUCUUUUA